AUGAUUGUGCAGCAGAUGAAGAGGGAAGUAACUAGAACUAUGUUGGAAGCAAUUGUGAAUAGAUGGUGGAAGAGAACUAUGAUGAAAAUAGUUAUGGUUGGUUCAGCGAAAUUUCUCGACCGAGAAGCUAUUGAGAAGAGCAAAGCCAAGCUUGGUAUAAGGAGAUGCAAGACACCGACUCUCCAAAUGCUGAUAUACAAGUGUUUGGUAGUCGCAAUCGAUUGGAGGUUUUAG